UACGUAGGGGGCAAGCGUUGUCCGGAGUUACUGGGCGUAAAGCGCACGCAGGCGGUCGAUUAAGUUUGGAGUGACAGUUGGUGGCUUAACUGCCAAAGUGCUUUGAAACUGAUCGACUUGAGGGCUUCAGAGGGACACGGAAUUCCGGGUGGAGUGGUGAAAUGCGUAGAGAUCCGGAGGAACACCGAAGGCGAAGGCAGUGUCCUGGGGAGUACCUGACGCUCAGGUGCGAAAGCCAGGGGAGCGAACGGG
rnacentral:rRNA from 1 species